rnacentral:rRNA from 1 species
UUCCAGACUCCUACGGGAGGCAGCAGUGGGGAAUAUUGCACAAUGGGGGGAACCCUGAUGCAGCGACGCCGCGUGGGCGAGGAAGUAUUUCGGUAUGUAAAGCCCUAUCGGCAGGGAAGAAGAAAUGACGGUACCUGAAUAAGAAGCACCGGCUAAAUACGUGCCAGCAGCCGCGGUAAUACGUAUGGUGCAAGCGUUAUCCGGAUUUACUGGGCGUAAAGGGAGCGCAGGCGGCGCGCCAAGUCUGGAGUGAAAGGCGGGGGCUCAACCCCCGGACUGCUCUGGAAACUGUACGGCUGGAGUGCAGGAGAGGUAAGUGGAAUUCCUAGUGUAGCGGUGAAAUGCGUAGAUAUUAGGAGGAACACCAGUGGCGAAGGCGGCUUACUGGACUGUAACUGACGUUGAGGCUCGAAAGCGUGGGGAGCAAACAGGAUUGGAUACCCUAGUA